AUUGAACGCUGGCGGCAGGCCUAACACAUGCAAGUCGAGCGGAUGAAGGGAGCUUGCUCCUGGAUUCAGCGGCGGACGGGUGAGUAAUGCCUAGGAAUCUGCCUUGUAGUGGGGGAUAACGUCCGGAAACGGGCGCUAAUACCGCAUACGUCCUGAGGGAGAAAGUGGGGGAUCUUCGGACCUCACGCUAUCAGAUGAGCCUAGGUCGGAUUAGCUAGUUGGUGGGGUAAAGGCCUACCAAGGCGACGAUCCGUAACUGGUCUGAGAGGAUGAUCAGUCACACUGGAACUGAGACAAGGUCCAGACUCCUACGGGAGGCAGCAGUGGGGAAUAUUGGACAAAGGGCGAAAGCCUGAUCCAGCCAUGCCGCGUGUGUGAAGAAGGUCUUCGGAUUGUAAAGCACUUUAAGUUGGGAGGAAGGGCAGUAAGUUAAUACCUAGCUGUUUUGACGGUACCAACAGAAUAAGCACCGGCUAACUUCGUG
rnacentral:rRNA from 1 species